rnacentral:tRNA from 1 species
AGUAAAGUCAGCUAAANAAAGGUUUCGGGCCCAUACCCCGAAUAUGGUGGUUAAACCCCCUCCUUUACUA